AUCCAUUUGAACACAGGCUGGAAAACACAUAUUUGUUCUACUGUUAGUGUUCACGUACUGUUUGUUUUUCUGCAGAACAUUUUAAAGAAGCCUAGCACACCCGUGCAGCUGCAGAGCAUUGGAGGGGCCCCACGGACUCUGGAGUUGGGCUGUCUCAUCUGUGAAAUGGGAGCUAUCAGAAGUGAGAUAAAGCAUGCAAAGCACUUACACCAGCACCAUGUCUCUGUGAAGGCCCCCGUAAUGAUUAUGAAGUGCUCGUGAAUGAUGAUCAAGAGCAUUCACUAACAAGUGUGAGCUGCACCGUCUCUCAGAGUUCCUUUUGCAUUCAAAAAACCUCCUCACUUGUUCCCGAAUCAUUCUCUUUGUUCUCUGUCUGACCACAUUUUGGCCCCAAGUCAGCUCUGCUCUGCACCUUCUUUGUGGAGCUGGCCUCUGGCUCUUUUUGUCUGCUGUGAGUACUUCGUCUCCUCUGUGUCUGGCUUUCAGCUCUCUGUAAAAUUUGGCUUGGACUGCACUCUGAGCUCUUGCACUUCAGAUGGCUUCAGUCUGCUUUGGCACCUUUUGCAACUUGGCUGUUAACCUGG
rnacentral:lncRNA from 1 species